rnacentral:rRNA from 1 species
UACGGAGGGUGCAAGCGUUGUCCGGAAUCACUGGGCGUAAAGGGCGCGUAGGCGGCUCAUGAAGGCUGUGGUGAAAGUCCGGGCUCAACCUCGGAUCGGCCGUGGCGACUCGUGGGCUGGAGCACUGUAGAGGCGGGUGGAAUUCCGGGUGUAGCGGUGGAAUGCGUAGAGAUCCGGAAGAACACCAGUGGCGAAGGCGGCUCACUGGCCCGGUACUGACGCUGAGGUGCGAAAGCGUGGGGAGCAAACAGG